GCCCGCCUAGCUCAAUCGGAUAGAGCGUCAGACUCUUAGUCUGAGAGUAAAUACCCGGCGGGAAUCUGAAGGCUGCGAGUUCGACCCUCGCGGUGGGCU
rfam:Fomitopsis pinicola FP-58527 SS1 unplaced genomic scaffold FOMPIscaffold_38, whole genome shotgun sequence.